CUACGGACUUAAUUGGAUUGAGCCUUGGUAUGGAAACCUACCAAGUGAUAACUUUCAAAUUCAGAGAAACCCAGGAAUUCAAAAAAAGGGCAAUCCUGAGCCAAAUCCGGUUUUCUGAAAACAAACAAGGAUUCAGAAAGCAAUAAUAAAAAAGAAUAGGAUAGGUGCAGAGACUCAAUGGAAGCUGUUCUAACAAAUGGAGUUGGCUGCGUUAAUCCGGAUUUCUUUGAUUUUUCAUGAAAAAUCAAAGAAUUGUUGUGAAUCAAUUCUAAGUUGAAAAAUGAAUUGAAUAUUCAUUAAUCAAAUCAUUUACUCCAUCAAAAUCUGAUAGAUUUUUUGAAGACUUGAUAAAUCGGACGAGAAUAAAGAUAGAGUCCCAUUCCACAUGUCAAUAUCGA
rnacentral:ncRNA from 1 species